UUUCCGUAGGUGAACCUGCGGAAGGAUCAUUCAUUAUAAAGUGUUUUAUGGCACUUUUUAAAAAUCCAUAUCCACCUUGUGUGCAAUGUUAGAUCUCGUCAAUCUUGGCGAGAUUUUUAUACAUCAACUCAUUUUUUAACUAAUUUGUCUGAAAAAUAUUAUGAAUACUUAAUUCAAAAUACAACUUUCAACAACGGAUCUCUUGGCUCUC
rnacentral:misc_RNA from 1 species